rnacentral:rRNA from 1 species
UACAGAGGGUGCGAGCGUUAAUCGGAAUUACUGGGCGUAAAGCGCGUGUAGGCUGCUUGGAAAGUCGGAUGUGAAAGCCCUGGGCUUAACCCAGGAAGUGCACUCGAAACUUCCAAGCUCGAGUCCUGGAGAGGGUGGCGGAAUUCUCGGUGUAGAGGUGAAAUUCGUAGAUAUCGAGAGGAACACCGGUGGCGAAGGCGGCUACCUGGACAGUGACUGACGCUGAGACGCGAAAGCGUGGGGAGCAAACAGG